rnacentral:rRNA from 1 species
AGGGGCAUCAUGAGGUAGCAAUACCUUGAUGGCGACCGGCGCACGGGUGAGUAACGCGUAUGCAACCUACCUAUAACAGGGGCAUAACACUGAGAAAUUGGUACUAAUUCCCCAUAAUAUUCGGAGAGGCAUCUUUUAUGGUUGAAAAUUCCGAUGGUUAGAGAUGGGCAUGCGUUGUAUUAGCUAGUUGGUGGGGUAACGGCUCACCAAGGCGACGAUACAUAGGGGGACUGAGAGGUUAACCCCACACUGGUACUGAGACACGGACCAGACUCC